ensembl:lncRNA
CUUAUGAUUAUUGUUGAUAAUUAAGACUGUGCUAACAGAUGAGAAAUCCUAGUCAUUGGCCAGGCAGCAUUUAUACCUUAUAAUAUAAGUCUCUGUGUGCUACCAUAAUGUGGUGGUGGGUGGAACUUGGAUGGCCUGUUGGAAAGCUCCCACAUGGCAGCAGGGCUUGGGUGGCUUCAGUGGAAAGACUUAUUGUUACAAAUGAGUAACUAGUGAACCAAAGCAUGGCCUAGUUCUUGGGGAAAAGACAUUGCAAACAGCACUGAGAGAAAAAUACAAGACUAUGAAGUCUUUUUGUCAACUGGCACAGAGUCAUUGUAUGUGGUCCUGGGUUUCAUGAAGACAUUUUCACACAAGCAUAUAAUGUACUUUGAAUGUACUACCUUCUCAUGGCUCUGCACCACUGCUUUCUGCUACUCCCCUCUCUUCAGUUCCUUGUAUUUCCUUAGAUAGCCUCAUUUCUCCUUUAAUGUAACAUAUGCACAGAUGAUUUUAUGAAUCUAUAUAAAACCAAGGAAGCACAAAUAAGAGAACUCAUGUGAUAUUUGCCUAAGACUAGAUUAGUUCAGUAGAAUGAUCCUCCAGCACAUUCAUUUUCUUGCAAAUGGUAUAGGCACAUUCUUCUCUAUGGCUGAGUAAUAUAUGGCUGAGUAAUAUGCUAUUGCAUAAGUACAUCAUGUUUCCUUUGGUCAUUCCUGUGUUAGUAGACACCUAAACUGGCUCCAUAGCCUUUGUUGGGAGUGCUGCAAUAAACAUUUCUGAACAAAUCUCUCUGUGAUUUAUUGACUCGAGUCUUUGGGUAAAUACCAAGGAGAGGUAGAGCUGGGUCAUAUGAUACAUCUCCUUUGCAGUCUUUGAGGGAGCUGCAUAUUGAUUUUCAUUAUAUUCAUUUCCACUAGCAAUAUAUAGCUGUUCCCUUUUGUCUGCUCCCCCAUCAGCACUUUCUGUCAUUUUUUCAAGGUUGCCAUUCUGAACAGGGUGAAAUGGAAUGUCAGGCUAGUUUCAUGGAGAAUUUUUCUGUUAGUUAGUGAUACUGAUCAUUUACGUGCGUGCAUUGCCAUUAGUGCUUUAUCUUUGGAGGGCUGUCUGUUCAUUUCCUUAGCCCAUUUAUUGAUUAGGUUUGAGUUCUUGUUAGUUUUUUUUUUCAGUUUUUUGUAUAUUAAUCCCCUGUCACAUUUGUAGUUAGCAAAGGUUUUGUGCUAUUCUGUAGGCUGUCAUUCAACUGUUUCCUUUGGUGUGUGGCACUUUUUAAUUUCAGGAAGUGCCAUCCGUCCAUGGUUGGUGCUCUUUCCUGAACUAUUCUUUCAACAAAUUAAAUGCCCGUGCAUGUACCCUGCAGCACUUGCUCUACUUUUCAUUUUAAUAGCUCAGAGUUUCAGGUCUUACACUGAGAUUUGUCAUUGUUUGCCUAUUGCUAUGACAAAACAACACGAGCAAGGCAACUUAUAAAAGCAAGCAUUUAAUUUGGGGCAGUCAAAGAUCCAGAGGGUGAGUCCCUGAUUAUCACUUCAGGGAGCACAGCAGCGGGCAGGCAGGCAUGGAGCUGGAGCCGUAGCUGAGAGUUUACAUCUAAUGCACAAGCACAAGGGGUGGCGGGGGAGAGGAAGGAAAGAAAUUAAUGGACUUUUGAAAUUUCAAAUUCCACCUCCAGUGACAACGCCUCUUCCAACAAGACCACACCUCUGAUCAUUUCCAAAUAGUUCACCAACUGGGGACCAAACACUCAAACACAUGAGCCUAUGGGAGCCAUUCUCACUCACACCACCAUAUUCCCCUCUGUGGCCCCCAUGGCCUUGUGACCAUGUUAUAAUGUCAAAUGCAUUUAAUACAACUUCAGAAGUCCCCAUUGUCUUUCUCAGUCUCAACACAGUUUAAAAGUCCAAAGCCUAUUCUGAGACUCAAGGCAAUCUUUUAGUUGUAACCAUUUGUAAAAUCAAAAAGCAAAUCACACACUUUCAACAUAUAAUAGCACAGAGUAUAUGUUACCAUUCCAAAAGGGAGGAAUAGAGCUAUGUGAGGAAAUACUGCUGAGUGAAACUGAGGACAUGACUGCUCCGAGGUAUGGUUGAGGAGAAGGGUUUUACUGUAGAUAGGAGGGAACUGCCAGAGGGAGCCUAAAGGGUUCAAGCUGAACCAGGUCAUGAGAGGACAGAGGGUGGCUGUGGGAAGGGGGUGAGAGAGGAAGAGAAGAGAGAGAGGAGGAGACAGAGCAAGUGGAUCAAGAGAGGAGCUGAGGAACAAGAGGAGAAACGGGGGGAGGGGUGGUGGCAAGAGAUCACAUGGCACAAACGGUGGAUUUAUAUAGGAAAGAUACUGAGGGAAGGGGAGCUGGAGAGGCUUAGGGUUGGGAGCAGGGGUGAGAAGCACAGAGAGGAAACAGGACUCUGUAACAGAUACUUGCAAUACUGAGAGAGCCUGGCAGCUUGUGCAUGCUUUGGUGUGUUAAAUAGACAUCACAGUUAGCUGUUUCAACUGGACCAAAACAAGACUGAAACCCAGCCGGACAAACUCUAAAUCCUGUAACUAUAUGUUUAAUGUCAAAGGGCUUAGAUUGCACCAGUUUUACAGCUUUGAUAACGACAAUACACUUCUCUCUUUAGGGCUGGUUCCAUUCCCUUCUUGGAGCUCUUUCUGGUAGACAACGCAGUACUCUGGCACAAUCAACAUCUUGGGGUCUUGAAAGUAAUCUAGACUUCAUCAUCAUAGCCUCACUUGACCACUAUGGUUCUCCCAUCAUAUGCCUGGCUUCAACAGCUCCCUUAACAGUGGGAGAAGCUUCCUCAACCCCUUCACUCCUGUAUCCUUCAUAACUUUAAAACCAAAACAAAGUGGCCUGUACUGCUAAGUUUUGCUACCUGUUUAUAACGGAACCUAAUCUCCUGCUUGAAUUUCAUUUGCAUAAGCUUUGAUUUGUUGAUACUUUCAUUUGUUAAGUAAGCUUUCCUUUCCUCUAGGAGAAGAUUCCUUAGGCAUUUCCUGUUUACAAGUUGGAAGUGUCUAUGGAUGGAUUCUUGCCCUAUGAGCAUCACUUUCUUUAUUCCACUUCCAGUCAGUUCGGCUGCAGUGAACAUCUGGGUAUCCUGUAAUUGCUCUUUGUUCUGACCGUCCUUCCUGGAGAGAACCAGAUGCACCGGUUUUGAGAAGAAUAUUAAUGACAAUUGAUGCAGUGGUGGAAGCCAUGCUGUCACCCUUGGGAACGGUGCAUAGGUGUGUUGCAAAUGGAGUUCCUUAGACGGCAAGGGCCUUUGGAGAAUCCCAUCCAUUUGGCAAGGACCUAUGGGGUACCUGUAUAGCCCUACCUGUCCUGGAAAUGGCUGUGUAAACUACCUUGGCUUGGAACUCAGAGAUCCACUGCCUCUGCCUCUCAAGUGCUGGGAUUAAAGGCGUGCGCAAUCACCUCCAGAUCUUAAAUUCAAUUCAUUUACAACUAGGACUCCAGCUCAUAACAACCACAGUGAAUGGAUCUCCUUAUUUCCAGUAAUCUAAACUAGGUAAUCCCUGGUGGGCAUGCCCAGAGCUUUGUCUCCUGCAUUGAUCUAGUUUCCAUCCAGUCCACAAUGAAGCUUACCAUCAGGAUAGUGUUCCAUACAUUUUAAAAUUCAGGUGCUAGCUCUCAGAUGAUUUGUUGGUCCAAGUCUUGUAUGUACUCACUAGGUACUCAAAACGGAACCAGCCAAUCUUGUCCUGCUUCAAUACAGCCUUUGUCUUGUUUACUGUUUAAAAGGGGACAAUGUUGGUAUGAAGCCCUGUAAUCCAUGUUUCUAUUUUUUUUCUGAAUCCUAGAUUAUUAUAUUAAGUUGUGUCUUACCUGUAUCCUCUCAUGUCUCAAAGGGACCUCAAGUUCAAAAAUUUAAAUUAGCCAAAAGUAAACCAAAAAAGUAAAUAAAUGUACUGUAUACUUUUGGAUGUAUUUCCAAAUAAAUAUGUUAUUUUUUAA